rnacentral:rRNA from 1 species
GAUGAACGCUGGCGGCGUGCCUAAUACAUGCAAGUCGAGCGAAUGGAUUAAGAGCUUGCUCUUAUGAAGUUAGCGGCGGACGGGUGAGUAACACGUGGGUAACCUGCCCAUAAGACUGGGAUAACUCCGGGAAACCGGGGCUAAUACCGGAUAAUAUUUUGAACUGCAUGGUUCAAAAUUGAAAGGCGGCUUCGGCUGUCACUUAUGGAUGGACCCGCGUCGCAUUAGCUAGUUGGUGAGGUAACGGCUCACCAAGGCAACGAUGCGGAGCCGACCUGAGAGGGUGAGCGGCCACACUGGGACUGAGACACGGCCCAGACUCCUACGGGAGGUAGCAGUAGGGAAUCUUCCGCAAUGGACGAAAGUCUGACGGAGCAACGCCGCGUGAGUGAUGAAGGCUUUCGGGUCGUAAAACUCUGUUGUUAGGGAAGAACAAGUGCUAGUUGAAUAAGCUGGCACCUUGACGGUACCUAACCAGAAAGCCACGGCUAACUACGUGCCAGCCGCCGCGGUAA